rnacentral:lncRNA from 1 species
AUGACCCUCCAUGGGCCAAAAACCUGCAGAGGCAUCAAUCACGAGUGCAAGCUGUGCAACCAGAUGUUUGACUCACCUGCCAAGCUGCUCUGCCACCUGAUCGAGCACAGCUUCGAGGGGAUGGGGGGUACCUUUAAGUGUCCCGUCUGCUUCACAGUGUUUGUUCAAGCCAACAAACUGCAGCAGCACAUUUUUGCUGUUCACGGUCAGGAGGACAAGAUCUACGACUGCUCCCAGUGUCCGCAGAAGUUCUUCUUUCAGACAGAGCUUAAUCACACGUCAUCAGUUUGA